UAUCUAUUUAAUUUCUGAUUACGUUCUUUUUUAAUAACCAUAAUUCGUAAAGUAAGCAAGAAUAAUGUUUGUAGUGUUUUUGUACUGAUUUUGCGUUAAUACUUGUACAUGUUUAUUUCUUUAUUUUCCCUUGCACGUAAAUGUGAUGUACAGUGACGUACAUAGAGUCUGAGCACUGGAGCUGUCACAUCUAGCUAUUUUUCUUUUUUCUUUUGCAUUCUACCCCAAAGUUGUAUUUCUUUUACAUCGUUAUCGAUGAUAUUGUUUAUUUAAGUAAGAGCUACGUGACUUCCAGACGGCAAACUGGUUUCAUUUAUGUGUUUUUCUAAAAUAGGAGCUAGGUCAAGCUAGCCAACGAGCGGCGCAAAAGUUAGGGUCCUCUGAGCCAACGUUCCAUGACCAAGGUCCUCUGAGUGAAAUAUCUCAUGACCAUUUUCGAGUGUUCUUUGGGUUACAUUCCCACCACUCAUCUUUGGACGGCCUAUGUUCAAACCCCCUCUCAGGCAGUGCGAAGCCUAUCAGCAGUCAUGGAAGAUCUAACCGCUCCAUUAUAAUUUAUCCCUUUUUGAUUUAUAAUUGUUGGUUUAUUGAAUUUUACAUUUCUUUAAAUAAUUUAAAUUUGAGUGCGAAGAGUCGUUCAUUUAUAGUUUUGUUUGAAGAAUACUUUUAAAUAAUAAAUAUUAGUUAAUAAUAAUAACAUCAGAGUGGUAUGCGCUGAAAUUUCUUAAUUUAUCAAAUAUUUAAUAUUUUUAAAUUCAUUCUUUCCUACGGAUUGUUGAUCUGUUGGGGUUUUUAUCCCCAAUCAUUUAAAAUUCCGCCAAGGGAAUACCACCCUUAGGCCUUGUGUCACUCUGGGACUGAGGCUCUGUUUCGCCUUCGGGCAAGCAGCAAAUUUGACUGUCUUCUCCAUCGCCUGACUGUGCAGGGCUGAGUCCUAAUGCCUUCGGCUUUUUAUGGAAAGACUAUUUUCAGGGGUACACAAAUCCCCACCUUUCAUAACUGGCACCCGACGGACCAAGUUCCGGUUCCGGCCCAGAGUUUUCGGCCCGCCUCACAGCGCCCAUGUUUAGAGUUUUGUCACGUGACAUCAUUCCCAACAUCUGAGAUCAACUUUACUAAUUACAUAAUUCACCGUUAAGGGUGAUUAAGACAAUUAUAAUACACCUUCGAUUUGAUCAACAUAUUUUUUUAUAAGUAGUAGGAUACAGGCGGACCUGGUACUAGUUUUACUGAGCAGUGUAAGUGUUGUUUUUUUAUUUUCCCUAUAUGCUCCGCAUUCAAGCGGGGGAGUAUGUGCCGGAAAUUAGGCAUUUCGUCACCUUUUUAAAUUUUUUUUCUAUAAUUUUAAAAUUUUUGGGGUUUCUUAUUUUUUUAAAUUUAUCUGGUUGUUAAUGGGAGUGAUUUACUUUUUGUUAGGCCGGUGUACGCCACGGAUUUAAACUUUGUGCCAGUGGACCGAAGCCCCUUCCCAGGGGGCCAAUCUGAUAUUUUGCUGUCUAAUGUGGACAUGGUCAGCCCGGUUGAAAUUUCUCUCGCCUGCAGUCACGUCCCGAGUUUGUAAUUUUAAUUCCCUGCAUGACCGAAACUGCAUAGAGCAGCUCCUGGGCUGCAAGCUGCUACCUUGUAGAGACCUGCUGAGAAUAGCAUGUCUCGUCACGAAGCAGUCUCCAGUGGAGCUGCGUUCCCACCGGAGUGGCGUUUUCUGUCCCCCCCUUCCUCUCUCUCCACAUCACUUUAGUUCUGAGAAAUCCAGGAGCAGUGACCUGACAUGAACUUAGCCAAGAGACCUAAAGAGACCUCCGCGAAACCUAGUGGCAGAAAAAAGCAACUUUACCCAUGGUGGCCAGCGAGCCGAGACUACGCUCAUGACACCUGGUGGCAAGUCAGCUCACCACGUCAAGUAGUUCCCCCUUACGCCGCUAGAAAGCAGCGUCGUGGUGCCAUAAGGCACCAUGCUUUCUUCUCCCGACCUGUAGGAGUCGAUUGUUCGUUGCUUUCGUUUCGGUCCGGUAGAGAGCGCGCAUGUCGUGUUCUUGCCACGCCCGCCUCGGACUCCUUCGGAAAUCUUCGGCUUAGAACCGAACCUUCCCCCCUCCUCCCUAGGGCUUUAGCGCCUGUUUUAAUUAGAAACCUCGUCCGCCCUUGGUGACUCUGUCCUCUGAUCGCGGCUACUGACCAUGUGUGCUCGACGUCCUCUGCGCUAAGAGGCCUUUCGCGGGAACGGCGAUUUCCGGUUGCACAAAAGAUGUAGUCAGUUACUUAAGGGAUGUGAUCCCAUUUGUACAGUAGCCAGGCAGAGGUAGUUUUUAGAAAUGUCAUGCAUAGUUAAAUUCUUUUUAUUUAUAUUUAAUUCUAAAAAUUCUGGUUUCCUUCGCGCAUCCGCGAAUUUUCGGUGCGCGUCAUCCUGAUGUCUGCGCGAGACACCUCGCGAGCCCUGUGUCCACACCCUGUUUGACAGGGUCGAAGUUACGGGGGAGAAAUUGCCCCCGCAUGAUCUUCGGGACCUCCAGCUGAUCCCCCCCCCCCUUGUUAGAAGAGUUUGGCCGGCAGUCCGAGGUCAUCCUGGAAAGAUCCGGGUGAUAUGAGAUAUAUAUAUAUUUUUACUUAAAUAGAAGGAACUAAAACAAAGAUACCAGCGAGCAGUGUUUUAAGGACGUCAUCCUCAAGAAUCUGUAAAAUCGAGGAAACUCAUAUAUAUAUGUAAUUGUUGGGACAAUUAAAAUUUGGUGCGAUUUUUAAAUUUUUGAUUAUGUAAUAAUAUUUUGUUAAGGUGUAAUGUGUAUUGUUUUAAAUUAUUCUGGGGCGCCCCCUUUAACUUCGUUAAUUACUAAGAUUUUAUUGUCAAGUUUUAAUAAUACGAACACAAAAUUCCUUAAUAAUAAACCAGGGAACCUAUAGACCAAGCUA